CUAAUUAACACCUUUGAUGUUCUUAAAUCUGUUGAUCACUUUAUCUAGGGUUAAUUAGUGUUGUCACUACGAUUUACCAUUUUACCGGGUCAAUGUUUACUUUGCAAUUUUCCUCAAUCAAGACAAUUUGUAACCUUCGUUUCUAAAGCUUCAAUUUUCCAAAUUUUUUUUUAGAAAACUAAAAUCCACGAAUUUAAAAACC
rnacentral:lncRNA from 1 species